CUUUUAAAUUGACCACUGAGGGCUUCCUCUAGCCUGAUGGGGGUGAGGUAGGGGAAAGUAGUGUGUUUGGAGAACAGCAGAGAAAAAUAACACGUUUUUCUUCAUGAGGGAGUCGGCUAGUAGGUGUUGGAUCCAGAACGUAUCGUAAAAUUACAAGUGACUGCAAAUGACAUUUACACCCCGUAAAUCUGACUCGGUUACAGGACUGCAGAUUUUUCCCUGGCACCUGCCUGUCACAGCGUGUAGGUGGUUCCCCAGCCUUCCUGCGCCACGUGUUGGUUUCACCACGGAAGCCCCAGAGUUAUCCUUAUCUGUCUGUGCUGGGGGUGGUCCAGCUCCCAAGUCAGGAGCACCCAACGUGGAGACUGGAGCAGCAGGCCCUGUGAAAUGGAUGCCCAGCCUUCGCGAUGGAUCAUUGCAGGGACCUGGGGCCAUGGUCUCACCUGGUGCUCUUGCCCAUCCCCUAGUCCCACAAGGCAGGGUGGCAGGAGCUGGUAAAUACAGAGCUGUGAACCCAUGGUAAUGGGGGAGCAUGGACACAGGGUGUGAAUGUGUCUAAGUUGUGUUCCUGUGUGACCUGCAGACGUUUCUGGAAAGUCUGCAGCUUGGAUAAAUAAACCUGACUGCAUUUCCUGUGAGUGCAUAUGCCCCAAGGGAGAAUGCACUAGGUUUUCUCUGAGAAAAGCUGCAAGAAUCACCCAGAUUUAUGGAAAAUUAGGGUGGCACCUGCACCUGUGCUCUGAUCCCAUAACAAGAGCCCUUAGUCUGUCUUUGAAAGGCAUCUUUGCUGUUCAAAAACCUCCAAAGAAAGGGGUUUCUUAGCUGGCCAUAGAAGUUCCAGUAAAGAACUACCUUUUACAUUUUUUCCUUCUUUCUGGUCAUAAUGAGAGUGACAUUUGUGGUGUAUCAAGGCAAUUUCUUUCUGUGCUAUACCUAAUAUUGCUGGAGAGCAAUUGCUCAAUGUCUUUUUCAUAACCUCUUUUGGAAGAGCGUUAUCGUGUAAUCUGGUGUUUCUAAACAAAAGUUUACAAUAAAAGCUGUCACUUGGAGCAAAGACUCAGAAA